rnacentral:rRNA from 1 species
GACGAACGCUGGCGGCGUGCCUAAUACAUGCAAGUAGAACGCUGAAGGAGGAGCUUGCUUCUCCGGAUGAGUUGCGAACGGGUGAGUAACGCGUAGGUAACCUGCCUUGUAGCGGGGGAUAACUAUUGGAAACGAUAGCUAAUACCGCAUAACAGUAGAUAUCGCAUGAUAUCUGCUUGAAAGUUGCAAUUGCAUCACUACCAGAUGGACCUGCGUUGUAUUAGCUAGUUGGUGAGGUAACGGCUCACCAAGGCGACGAUACAUAGCCGACCUGAGAGGGUGAUCGGCCACACUGGGACUGAGACACGGCCCAGACUCCUACGGGAGGCAGCAGUAGGGAAUCUUCGGCAAUGGACGGAAGGCUGACCGAGCAACGCCGCGUGAGUGAAGAAGGUUUUCGGAUCGUAAAGCUCUGUUGUAAGAGAAGAACGAGUGUGAGAGUGGAAAGUUCACACUGUGACGGUAUCUUACCAGAAAGGGACGGCUAACUACGUG